GAUGAACGCUAGCGGCAGGCUUAACACAUGCAAGUCGAGGGGUAUAGUUCUUUGGAACUAGAGACCGGCGCACGGGUGCGUAACGCGUAUGCAAUCUACCUUUUGCAGAGGGAUAGCCCAGAGAAAUUUGGAUUAAUACCUCAUAGUAUGUGAGAAUGGCAUCAUUUUCACAUUAAAGUCACAACGGCAAAAGAUGAGCAUGCGUCCCAUUCGCUUGUUGGUAAGGUAACGGCUUAUCAAGGCAACGAUGGGCAGGGGUCCUGAGAGGGAGACCCCCCACACUGAUACUGAGACACGGACCAGACUCCUACGGGAGGCAGCAUGGAGGAAUAUUGGACAAGGGGCGCAAGCCUGUUCCAGCCAUGCCGCGUGCAGGAUGACGGUCCUAUGGAUUGUAAACUGCUUUUGUACAGGAAGAAACACUGGUUCGUGAACCAGCUUGACGGUACUGUAAGAAUAAGGAUCGGCUAACUCCGUGCCAGCAGCCGCCGUAAGAC
rnacentral:rRNA from 1 species